rnacentral:piRNA from 1 species
UCCCAAAAGCCAACUGAGUUGUGCUGCCAUU